CCCAUUGCAUGAGUAGGAACACUAGUUCCUGUAUGAUCACCAAAGUUAAGCAAUUUUGAGCCUGGUCGGUACCUAGAUGGGUAACUGCUUGGGAAUAUCAAGUACUGUA